rnacentral:rRNA from 1 species
AGUGAACGCUGGCGGUAGGCCUAACACAUGCAAGUCGAACGGCAGCACAGUAAGAGCUUGCUCUUACGGGUGGCGAGUGGCGGACGGGUGAGGAAUACAUCGGAAUCUACUUUUUCGUGGGGGAUAACGUAGGGAAACUUACGCUAAUACCGCAUACGACCUACGGGUGAAAGCAGGGGAUCUUCGGACCUUGCGCGAUUGAAUGAGCCGAUGUCGGAUUAGCUAGUUGGCGGGGUAAAGGCCCACCAAGGCGACGGUCCGUAGCUGGUCUGAGAGGAUGAUCAGCCACACUGGAACUGAGACACGGUCCAGACUCCUACGGGAGGCAGCAGUGGGGAAUAUUGGACAAUGGGCGCAAGCCUGAUCCAGCCAUACCGCGUGGGUGAAGAAGGCCUUCGGGUUGUAAAGCCCUUUUGUUGGGAAAGAAAAGCAGCAGGUUAAUACCCCGCUGUUCUGACGGUACCCAAAGAAUAAGCACCGGCUAACUUCGU